AGCGAACGCUGGCGGCAGGCCUAACACAUGCAAGUCGAACGAACCCACCGGGGUUAGUGGCUGAUGGGGGAGUAACACGUGGGAACGUGCCUUUAGGUUCGGAAUAACUCAGGGAAACUUGUGCUAAUACCGAAUGUGUCCUUCGGGGGAAAGAUUUAUCGGCUGUAGAGCGGCCCGCGUCUGAUUAGCCAGUUGGUUGAGGUAAUGGCUCACCAAGGCGACGAUCAGUAGCUGGUCUGAGAGGAUGAUCAGCCACAUUGGGACUGAGACACGGGCCAAAAUCCUACGGGAGGGAGCGGUGGGGAAUCUUGCGCAAUGGGCGAAAGCCUGACGCAGCCAUGCCGCGUGAAUGAUGAAGGUCUUAGGAUAGUAAAACUCUUUCAACGGGGACGAUGAUGACGGUACCCGGAGAAGAAGCCCCGGCUAACUUCGUG
rnacentral:rRNA from 1 species